UUCAGGAGACUGGGAACAAGAACACAUCAAGGACAAGAAGAUAAUGCAAGCAGCUUAUAAUUAUUUGAACACUUCUAUCUGAUGCUGGAAGGUGGUUAGAAAUUAUUUUACCUUAUCAUGAAGCAUCCAGAACAAAGAGUAUGUGCUGUUGAAGAGAAAAUGGACACAGCAUGAAAGUUUAAUCCUCAUGCUGAAAGGCUGGAAGUCUCCUAGGAAAACGGAUCCCCAGGCUCCCAGAAAGGCCAGAGGAUCUUGCUUAAUUUAUAUUUCAAAUAAUUCAUUUUAAAGGAGAAGUCUGAACUUGAUAAUCAGCUAGUGAAGACACUGAAAUACUGUCAUGAAAACUGAGUAGACAGACUAGUUCCUUCUCCUACCUUAAAUCCUGUGAAUUGUCAGAUGAUUCACCCAGAAGCUGUGCCACAAAGACAGAUCUCCAAAGGUGCUGAGCCCGUCAGCCAUCAUUUAUUAUUUACAGCGAACAACACUGACUUUUGUGAAAAAAGCAAUUCAGGACACAGUCACGUGGAAUUGUAACAAUGUUAAUGCUGAAAGAACUAUAUUUCUAAGUCCAUUUGUACCUCGGACUGCAAGGAGAUCCAACCAGUCAAUCUGAAAGGAAAUCAGUCCUGAAUAUUCAUUGGAAGGACUGAUGCUGAAGCUGAAACUCCAGUACUUUAGCUACCUGAUGCAAAGAACCGACUCUGGAAAAGACCCUGAUGCUGGGAAAGAUUGAAGGCAGGAGGAGAAGGGGAAGACAGAGGAUGAGAUGGUUGGAUGGCAUCACUGACAUGAUGGACAUGAGUUUGAGUAGGCUCCAGGAGUUGGUGAUGGACAGGGAAGCCUGGUGUGCUACAAUCCAUGGGGUCGCAAAGAGUUGGACAUAACUGAGUGACCGAACUGAACUAAACCAUUUGUACCAUUUUUAAAAAUUCCACAUAUAAGCAAUAUCAUAUAAUAUUUAUCUUUUUCUGUCUUCCCUUGUGGUUCAUCAAGUAAAGAAUCUGCCUGCAAUGCAGGAGACCUAGGUUCAAUCCCUGGGUUGGGAAGAUCCUUGGAGAAGGGAAAGGCUACUCACUCCAGUAUUCUGGCCUGGAGAAUUCCAUGAACUGUAUAGUCCAUGGGGUCACAAAGAGUCAGACAUGACUGACUGAGUGACUUUCACUCACUCAGUAUGACUAUCUCUAGUGACCUGACUCCUUUAUACUGUAUUUGCACCUUGCUCAUCUCCUUUGGGCCAUCUGUGUAUGUGGCAGGUUUGCCUUUUCUAUACUUGUUAAAAUUACAAAUAACCUUAUUGAGAAGGAUAAGAGCAGAGUCAUUUUUACAGUAAAUUUUAGGAUUUUCUCUGGGUUAGCAUGCUGGGCUUCAGUUGUUCUCCCAGAUACAAAUUCACCCAGUUCUAAUGUAAUUUCCUCUACCUUUCUGUGUUCGAGCUACAAGCAUAGCCAUCCUUGACUGCCCUUCCCCCAGCUAAAUGAGACAGGCAUUCCUAUAUGUCUCUUGGGCUUUAUGUAUCAGCCUUAGUCCUGCCUUUUUACUGUCUAUGCUUUCAUUCCCUGGCUCGAGGGUAAGACUGAGUGUUGCUCAUGGUUAUAUCCACUGCCUAGUGCACACACUUCAUUAAAAUAUUUGUUAUUGGAUGAGUGAAUUAACAAUUUUUGUUAGGUGUCUAAUUGAAAUCAAGAUAUACACUUCCAUGCACAGGCUCCUAAUUUAGUCAGGAAAGCAGAUGAAGUCCAUCCACAGGACCAGUUCUUGUGGGACACAUGCAGCCUCCUGGAUAAUCUGCUGU